GACGUAGGGGGCAAGCGUUAUUCGGAAUUAUUGGGCGUAAAGCGCUCGUAGGCGGGGCAGGAAGUCCGUGAAGAAAGACCUGGGCUCAACUCAGGGAACGGCACGGAUACUCUUGUUCUUGAGGCAUUCAGAGGAUGAUGGAAUUCCCGGUGUAGCGGUGAAAUGCGUAGAUAUCGGUAGGAACACCAGUGGCGAAGGCGGUCUCCUGGGGCACACUUGACGCUGAGGCGCGAAAGCUGGGGGAGCGAACGGG
rnacentral:rRNA from 1 species